rnacentral:rRNA from 1 species
CAGUCGCCGCGGUAAUACGUAGGUCCCGAGCGUUGUCCGGAUUUAUUGGGCGUAAAGCGAGCGCAGGCGGUUAGAUAAGUCUGAUGUGAAAGCCCCCGGCUCAACCGGGGAGGGUCAUUGGAAACUGGGAAACUUGAGUGCAGAAGAGGAGAGUGGAAUUCCAUGUGUAGCGGUGAGAUGCGCAGAGAUAUGGAGGAACACCAGUGGCGAAGGCGACUUUCUGGUCUGUAACUGACGCUGAUGUGCGAAAGCGUGGGGAUCAAACAGGAUUAGAUACCCCAGUAGUCCCUGUCUCUUAUAC